rnacentral:rRNA from 1 species
UACGUAGGGGGCGAGCGUUGUCCGGAUUCAUUGGGCGUAAAGCGCUUUAAGGCGGGUCGCUAAGUCGCGUGUGAAACCUCCAGGCUCAACCUGGAGACGCCACGCGAUACUGGCGUGACUAGAGUUCGGUAGGGGAUCACGGAAUUCCUGGUGUAGCGGUGAAAUGCGCAGAUAUUAGGAGGAACACCGGUGGCGAAGGCGCCACUCUGGGCCGAAACUGACGCUGAGGAGCGAAAGCGUGGGUAGCAAACAGG